rnacentral:snRNA from 1 species
GUGCUUGCUUCGGCAGCACACAUACUAAAAUUGGAACGAUACAGAGAACAUUAGCAUGGCCCCUGCGCAAAGAUGACAUGCAGAUUCAUGAAGUGUUCCAUAUUUUA